rnacentral:misc_RNA from 1 species
AAAGUCGUAACAAGGUUUCCGUAGGUGAACCUGCGGAAGGAUCAUUACAAAUCUUUGUGGAUAGCUUGGUGUGCAUUAUUGUAUGCCAAGUUUGAAACACAUAUGCACAAGGCACGCGUAAAGCCCCUCUAGGUUUUAUGUGUUGCUUUGAUGUUCACGCUUGUUUGUUUGACAGAGUUAUGGUGGUAACAUUUAAAUAAAGACAACUUUUAACAAUGGAUCUCUUGGCUCUU